AUUUGGGGAUAUAAAGAGCGCGUUCCAACCACAUAAUCUCCGAAGGCCAGACUUUUAAAAUUUCUCCAAUCUUUGGACCAAACACCAAAUUAGCCACGUUUCACUACCAUAUUUGGCUAGCUUGAAAACCAACCACAAUGAAUAAUUUCUUGCACCAAGAUUUUUGCGGUAGUCACUUGGUGAUACAAAGAGUGCACUCCAACCAUUAAAUCUCAAAAACCAAGAAUUUGAAAAUUUCCCAAAUCUUAGCACCAAGGAAAAACUUAGCCAAGUCUCACCACCUAAUUUAGCUCGCUUGAAAACAAACCAAAAUGAAAAAUUUCUUCCACGAGCUUUUUAUAGUAGCCAUUUUGUGAUAUAAAGAAUGUAUUCCAACAAUCAAAUCUAAAAAACCCAGACUCUGAAAAUUUCACAAAUCUUGACACCAAGGACAAACUUAGCCAAGUCUCACCACCUAACUUAGCUCGCUUGAAAACCCGAAAAUGAAAAAUUUCUUGAACGAGCUUUUUACAGUACCCAUUUGGUGAUAUAAAGAGUGCAUUCCAACAAUCAAAUCUGAAAAACGCAGACAUUGAAAAUUUCAGAAAUCUUGGCACCAAGGACAAACUUAGUCAAGUCUGACCACCUAACUUAGAAAGCUUCAAAAGCAACUAAAAUCAAACAUUUCUUGCACAAGGAUUUUUAAGGUAGUCAUUUGGGGAUAUAAAGAGUGCUUUCCAACCACAUAAUCUCAAAAUGCCAGACUUUGAAAAUUUCUCCAAUCUUUGCACCAAACACCAAAUUAGCCAAGUCUCACCACAAUAUUUGGCUAGCUUGAAAACCAACCACAAUGAAUAAUUUCUUGCACGAAGAUUUUUGUGGUAGUCACUUGGUGAUACAAAGAGUGCAGUCCAACCGUUAAAUCUCAAAAACCAAGAAUUUCAAAAUUUCCCAAAUCUUGGCCCACCAAGGAAAAACUUAGCCAAGUCUCACCACCUAACUUAGCUCGCUUGAAAACAAACAAAAAUGAAAAAUUUCUUCCAAGAGCUUUUUAUAGUAGCCAUUUGGUGAUAUAAAGAGUGCAUUCCAACAAUCAAAUCUGAAAAACCCAGACUCUGAAAAUUUCACAAAUCUUGACAACAAAGACCAACUUAGCCAACUCUCACCACCUAACUUAGCUCGCUUGAAAACCAACCAAAAUGAAAAAUUUCUUGAACGAGCUUUUUAUAGUACCCAUUUGGUUAUAUAAAGAGUGCAUUCCAACAAUCAAAUCUGAAAAACGAAGAGUUUGAAAAUUUCAGAAAUCUUGGCGCCAAGGACAAACUUAGUCAAGUCUCAACACCUAACUUAGCUAGCUUCAAAAGCAACUAAAAUGAAACAUUUGUUGCACAAGGAUUUUUAAGGUAGUCAUUUGAGGAUAUAAAGAGUGUGUUCCAACCAAUAAUCUCAGAAGGCCAGACUUUGAAAAU
rnacentral:lncRNA from 1 species